CUUUGACCCCAGCGAGUACUUCCUGUUCUGUGGAGGGCAGCGACGGAAAACAUUUUCCAGGUGUCUCUGUGCAGCCAGAGUCUCAGUCGGGACAAAUCCUUCCAGUCCGACAACGAUGGGAACCAGGUCUUCAAAGGACACAGGAACCUGGUGACGUGUCUCUCGGUGUCGAUGGACGGGACUCUCCUUCUCUCUGGGUCGCAUGAUGAGACGGUUCGACUCUGGGACGUCCAAAGCAAACAGAGCAUCCGCUGCCUCGCUCACAAAGGUAAGCCCCGCCCCCUCAGCAUGACAUCAUCAAU